rnacentral:rRNA from 1 species
UACGUAGGGUGCGAGCGUUAAUCGGAAUUACUGGGCGUAAAGCGUGCGCAGGCGGUUUGCUAAGACCGAUGUGAAAUCCCCGGGCUUAACCUGGGAACUGCAUUGGUGACUGGCAGGCUAGAGUAUGGCAGAGGGGGGUAGAAUUCCACGUGUAGCAGUGAAAUGCGUAGAGAUGUGGAGGAAUACCAAUGGCGAAGGCAGCCCCCUGGGCCAAUACUGACGCUCAUGCACGAAAGCGUAGGGAGCAAACAGG